AAAUUAAAAAGAAACAAAAAAAAAGUAAAGGAACUGCUGGAUCGCAAAUGAGAGAUUGAGAGGAGAAGAAAAUAGCAGGUGUUGGAUCUAAUAUAAAGAAGAUGGGAAGGAGUAAUGAAAAGAAGAAAAAAAUUAAAAAAGAAAAUAAAACACCCUGGGUUGCAGGUGCUGGACCUGCUGGCAGGUUGCGCAGGUGAAAAACUAAGGAGAAGAAAAUAGAAGAAAAGAAGAGGUGAGAGAGAGAGACAGGAAAGAAUGUGAAGACGAGAGAAAGAGAGAGAAAGGAAGG
rnacentral:misc_RNA from 1 species